CAUAAAAGUUGUCUGUGCAGUGUACAGCAUACGUAUUUUUUCACUUGGGCGUUAUAACUAUAUAUGAACUAUAUUUGGCACAUUUUGCAAAAAAACGUCUUUUCAGAUGUGAGUACUAGGCAUAUAUGUUGAAACUAGUGGAAUACGGUCAUCACUGCAAUACCCUAAGUACAGUGGGGUAUUCAAAGACCAACUCCACAUCACGACUACCCGUGACCUGUUACACGGCUAUCGAUUCAUUCCCCAGUCAGUCGAUAGUACCACAUUAAACAAUACUAUUUGCGCGUACAAAAAAAAUUCGUGAGUCAGAAUUUAUACAUUGUGUUACUUUAAAAAGGCAUAUAAAUUAAUACCAUUUUUUGUCCGAAACGAUGGCAUAUCACCAGGGUGGAAUGCCAGAUCAGCAAUUCCUUUGGGAUGUUUUUCAAAGGCAAGUUACGGAAACUAACGAUAUAAGGGAAAAUUAAAUUGUUUUUAUUUCAGAGUGGACAAAGAUAGAAGCGGUCACAUUUCAGCAGAUGAGCUACAAGUUGCCCUUUCUAAUGGUACAUGGUCUGCAUUUAACCCUGAAACGGUGCGUUUAAUGAUUGGAAUGUUUGAUCGCGAAAACAGAGGAACAGUAUCUUUUCAAGAUUUUGGAGCCCUGUGGAAAUAUGUGACAGAUUGGCAAAAUUGCUUUCGUUCAUUUGACCGGGACAAUUCGGGAAAUAUUGACAAAAAUGAACUUAAGACAGCACUAACUUCAUUUGGGUACCGUUUAUCUGAUCACCUCGUAGACGUUUUACUCCGAAAAUUUGAUCGUUUUGGACGAGGCACUAUACUUUUUGAUGAUUUCAUACAGUGUUGCAUUGUUCUUUACGUGAGUAUAAACAACAAUUUUAACAAGUCCAUUUUCACAGAGGGUUUUUAAAGGAACUCGACUUAACGUUUAUAUGUACAUACAGCUGCGGAGUUUAAAAUAGCACCAUGAAAAUAAUAUUGAAAUAUUUUGUUAAAAAAAUUUUGAAUGAAAGUGGAAUGAAGUUCUAAUGGAGGUGUUUAAAACUAUUAUAUCAAAUUUGAGGCUUAAUUCAACUUAUCCGAGAAAGAUGGUAUGCUUAGAUUGCUUUUGUUGGAAAUAUUUGGAAGGAAAAUUAAUUAUUCCGGUGUUUGGAAUAGCACCAAUUUCAUAAAAGCUCAACCAACUUCAAAUUUAAAAGAAAUUUCAACAAUUUUUCAUUACCAUAUUUUACUUUAAUUGUAUUCAAAGUUUAAUAAUUUGUUUCAAAGCUUUUUUUGGAGUCCUGUCGUCUUUCCUUGGGGAUUCAUCUCCACAAAUCUGGCAGAACCCCCAAAUGUAAAACUUUUUCAUUGAUUUCGUAUUAGAAACAUAUUCCUUAACUGUUCCCCAAAGAUUUUCCCUAUGGUUCAUAUCUGUGGACUGAGCAAGAGAAAACAUUGCAUAGAAGUCACUGUUUUAAAACACCUUAGAGCUCUCUAUCUGGUCUGUUUUGGGUCAUUUCCCUGAUGAAGACAUAACUCAACGGCAUUUUCUAUUACAUAUAAGGCAGCAUUAUUGUUUUAUUAUAUAAUAACAAAUAACAAAAAUUGAUUCAUCAUCGAUUCCAGCACGGGUACCUUACUUUCUUGUCUCGGUACCCGGUACUCGAAGAGUAAUACCCUAUUUACUAUUAUUACUAUUUACUAUAUUGUAGUUGUGGGGAAUAACGGUUGUAUGUAACGCACAGAAGGAAACGUUUCCGACCCCAUAAAGUAUAUAUAUUCUUGAUCAGCAUCAAUAGACGAGUCGAUAGAGCCAUGUCUGUCUGUCCGUCUGUCCGUCCGUCCGUCCGUCCGUCUGUCCGUCUUGUUUGUCGGCUAGUUCUCAGAGACUAUAAGAGCUAGAGCCACCAAAUUUUGGCUACAGACUGCUGUAUGCUCACACUGAAACCAGUGUAUUUAAAAAAUGAGCCACGCCCCCUUUCGCCUCCGCAAAAGGGCGAAAACCUCCAAAUCUACAGUUUUGAAGAUAAAAGAAAACGCCAUUCCGUAGAGAAUGGCCAUAUCUAUCAGAUCUCCAAAUUGGGAUCCGAGUGGAUCAUUAUUAUAGCCACAAUGAAGAAAUUAAUUUCCAGUGGCUAAACCCACACUGUCUCGCAGCUUUUGUUGUUCUUUUCACAUUCUCUCAUUCACACUCUGCUUCUGCUUCACUCGGCCCCUGCCUCUGCCCUCCCCCUGCCGAUUCCUCUUCCGACUUUUAACCCACCCCGUCCCGCAGCUUUUAUUUGUUUGUUUUUUUUUUGUGCGGACGGUGAUCUGCCUCGAGUCUGGAGUGUGUGGGUCUAGGGAAGGGCGGCGAGCUUACGGAGCGUGUUGGUGUGAGAAGUGUUGUAGAUGUAGAUGACAGAUGAAGAAAAAAUUAAAAAUUUGACAAAACACCACUAAGGUGCAGAUGUAGUACUGAGUGCCGGGUAUAAAAGUUAAGACGCGUAAAAAGCGUCUCAAACGUCCCUUUUCGUUAGAUAUAAAUAUGUGUCAAAAGGUUGUGGUUUUCAUUUGGUAGUCGUUUUACAUCAAAAGUAAAAUUUUGGCAAAAAAAAAAAAAUUUGUCUUCCUCCGGAUCACAGGAUCUAUAUCCAUAUAUAUUUUGGCCAACUCCAGUGUUUUUUCUACCUUGUAUUUAAUUUGCCCCAUGGUGACUUUGCUUAACUGGAUUUUUUCUCAGACUUCAAAAAUUUAUAUUCUUUUAAGCUAAAUCUAGCUUUGCUUAUCUUUGGAAAUUUUUUAAGAUCCUUUUUAAGCUCUGUGGCCGGCUUGCUCUCAGGAACCAGAAUUUUCAACCGAAAUGUGGAUAUUGCGCCAAUUCUUUCACUAGUUUAUGGUUGGAUACAUGUUUUAAAGCAAUACGAAUCAUUUUAGAUGUGGAACCUACUAUUUUCCUCACAUAGCUUUUGGAGUUAAAGGUUUGAUCCCUUGGGUUUUUUUCUUUCCUAAAGUGUAUCAAAGACCCAAAAACAACUAAUAUUUUUUAACUGUCUGUUUACAAUCGACUUAAUCUACCGAUUAAUAUAUCAAUUAAAAACAUUAUAUAUUAAAAAGCUCGGAAAAGUAUAAGUUUAUAUAAGAUACAAGUUUUGGUGCUAUUUUUGUUGCCGUUCAAUUUCGGUUCUUUUUAAAAAAGUUGCCUAAAUUAUUGAGAGCCGCCAAAGUUGUAAAUGUAAGGACACUUCUCUCAGAUAGGAGACAUGUCAACCUACUUUAUAUUACUUCAAAGUACAAAAAAUGUUGUAAUGAACCAAGUUCUAGGAGAUCUAGAACUACUUCUAAGAGAUUAAAGGAGCUACAGAAACCCAAUGUAGUGUGCAUAUACUAAGAACCCAAGUAAUGAAUGAUGUAUCAUAUGUAUUGAUGCCAAAAACACGUUACUAUCCGACUUUUAUAGAAGUAUUUAUAUGUACACAUAUAAAUCCUGUCAGGGAAACGGUAAUAUAACAGCCAGAUGGUUGAAAGAGACAGGAAGAAAGAGAGAUGUACAUACUUAAGUGAUUGGGCGAUAAGGAAUAAGCUAGAAAGUUAUUCAAUAGGCAAAAUGGACAGACAGAUUAGGGGAGUAUGAUUUAUAUUGUAAGAUGUACUGUGUUUUGUUGUUUAAGCCUCAAAUCUGAACAGUUGAGUUGACCUGGUCUGACCAGGUCUGACUAUUGCUAUUAUCCCGACAGGAGGGGACGGCUUUAUUGGUGCAAGUAGUUUUUAUCGUCAAACUCACAGCCGCGUUGUUGUCAGGGAAAUGCCUAUAGCGUAUCGUAAUAAGAAUGAUUAAGUUGGAACAUUUGAUUUGAGCUUAUUACCACAAGUAUCGAAUGAGAGCAAAUACAUAUACAUUACAGAUUUCACUAUUUUCACCGUACUUAGUAAUAAUCUGAUUCCCAACAUUUUUAAAUUGCAGACAUUGACAACGGCUUUCCGGCAACAUGAUACUGAUAUGGAUGGCGUCAUAACAAUACAUUAUGAGCAAUUUUUGAGUAUGGUUUUUUCUUUAAAAAUAUAAUAGUCUAUUUAAAAAGCCAUCAAAGUUUCUAAAUAUACAAUUUAAAGAACAUAAAAUGACUUGUGUAUAUUAAAUGGAUGAAAUUUAUUAUAAAUAAACAAUAAUAUCUAAUUUAACCUCCGCUAUAGUUUAUUUUUACACAAAAAUAUAUAAAUAUUAUAUAUAUAUGUUUGUUUAAGAUAUUACUUUGUACUUUGAUUGUAAUAAAAUGUGCAUAAAAAGAUGCAAU
rnacentral:lncRNA from 1 species